rnacentral:lncRNA from 1 species
CUCCACUGCAGUGUAACUUCGUUGCUAGGAAGCCAGCUGACGUACACAAACUGGGAUCGAAGGUGCAGCACGUAAGAAGUCAGGUGUCACCCAUCUCGUAACAAUUCUUAAAACGAAUAAAGUGGAACAAUUGUUUCUUUCUGAACUUUAAAUGUGGUCGCAAUUGUUUGUUCUGUGACUGCAACUGCCCUUGCUGACUUUGUUUAGAAGAAAAUGGGGAAUGGUGCCAGCAGCACAGUUCGACCGAUACAUUUGAAUCCAGACCUACAAAAUACGUUAAAGAACACGACCAUUGACACAACAAGUUAUCAGAAGCCAGAACAAACAGCUUAG